rnacentral:ncRNA from 2 species
AAUACGAUCGGAGGUGCGUCCGAGAUGAGUAGGAUUCUCCAUCAAGGGGAGAAUAUCGGGAGAAUCUGAAAGGCGAGGACGCCGAAGGGUGUGAGGUUUCUCCCGCUUCACACGCCUGGUGGUACAGGGAAUACCUGUAUCACUGUCACGGGAUAAUCCGUGGAGAGCCGAUCGUUGA